UUAAAAAAUAUUUGACUAGCACAGGCACAGCCGGGUGCAGGCGGGCAGAGCACCACCAGAAUCUCAGCCUGCUCCAGCCUCGCUGCUCCGCUUCUCUCUCCUGUCGCCAUGGCCGCCUAUAAGCUGCUGCUCAUCCCGCACAGCGAGAGCACCUGGAACCUGGAGAACUGCUUUAGCGGCUGGUAUGAUGCCAACUUAAGCCUAGUGGGCCACGAAGAGGUGAAGCACGGCGGGCAGGCGCUGCGAGAUGCUGGCUACGAAUUUGAUAUCUGCUUCACCUCAGUGCAGAAAAGAGCAAUCCAGACCCUCUGGACAGUACUGAAUGCCACUGACCAGAUGUGGCUGCCGGUGGUGAGAACUUGGUCUCUCAAUGAGCAGCAUUAUGGGGGCCUGACUGGCCUUAAUAAAGCAGAGACGGCUGCCAAGCACGGUGAGACCCAUGUGAAGAUCUGGCGGCGCUCCUAUGAUGUCCCACCACCCCUGAUGGAGCCUGACCCAUCACUUCUACAGCAACAUCAGCAAGGAUCGUAGAUAUGCAGACCUCACUGAAGAUCAGCUGCCUUGCUGUGAGAGUCUGAAAGACACUAUUGCCAGAGCUCUGCCCUUCUGGAAUGAAGAAAUUGUUCCCCAGAUGAAAGAGGGGAAAAGGGUGUUGACUGCAGCCCACAGCAACAGCCUCCGGGGUAUAGUCAAGCAUCUGGAAGGUCUCUCUGUAGAAGCCAUCAUGGAGCUAAACCUACCAAUUGGUAUUUCUGUUGUCUAUGAGUUGGCUAAGAACUUAAAGUCCAUCAAGCCCAUGCAGUUCCUCAGAGAUGAAGAGACCGUGUGCAAAGCCAUGGAAGCUGUGGCUUCCCAGGGCAAGGCCAAGAAGUGAAGACCACCAGCAGCCUGCGCCCCAUCCACCCACCCUCCACACCUCUCCCCCGCCUGUCACACUGAUCACACCUGUAGGAUCCUGUGUUGUAGCUGUGGAUGGGGACCAGUGGCUCCCAUUUCCCUUUUAGCAUUUUGGCUCCUGCACCCAUUCCCUUGAUAGAAUCUAGUCAGAACAGGACCUCUAGGACACAAGCUCUAGUUCUCAGUCCAAGCCCAGGGAAGGCUCCUCUUAUCCAGGAGAGUUGAGAGCUAGUAGCUGUCUAGUGCUUCU